rfam:Triticum aestivum genome assembly, contig: Triticum_aestivum_CS42_TGACv1_scaffold_501402_6BL
CAAAUACCCCCUCCGUCCAAAAAUUCUUGUCUUAAAUUUGUCUAGAUACGGAUGUAUCUAAUACUAAAACGUGACUUGAUACAUCCAUAUUUUGACAAGUCUAAGAAAAGAAUUUUGGGACGGAGGGAGUACAUG